rnacentral:ncRNA from 2 species
AUUGAAUAGUUUGUAUCAGGUGUCCAAUAUUGGAUGAAAAGGGAAAGCGGUUAAAAUCCGCUGCAGCCCACCGUUACUGUAAAGCAGAUGAAACCUGUUUGCAAGUUUGACUUGCAGCCACUGAAUUAAUUUCGGGAAGGUACAGGGAGUAAAAUGAUGCUAAGCCAGGAGACCUGCCUGAUAUUUGCAAAUUCU